AAUUUUUGGUACGGGUACUUUUGAAUCAAUGUUUUGAAACGCUCCCAUACCUCAUAGAAACUUUCUCUUUCCAUCUGUCUAAAGACAACAAUCUCUCUUCUUAGUU
rfam:Gossypium hirsutum cultivar TM-1 unplaced genomic scaffold scaffold1821.1, whole genome shotgun sequence